rnacentral:rRNA from 1 species
GGGUUGUGAGGUUAAGCGACUAAGCGUACACGGUGGAUGCCCUGGCAGUCAGAGGCGAUGAAGGACGUGCUAAUCUGCGAUAAGCGUCGGUAAGGUGAUAUGAACCGUUAUAACCGGCGAUUUCCGAAUGGGGAAACCCAGUGUGAUUCGUCACACUAUCAUUAACUGAAUCCAUAGGUUAAUGAGGCGAACCGGGGGAACUGAAACAUCUAAGUACCCCGAGGAAAAGAAAUCAACCGAGAUUCCCCCAGUAGCGGCGAGCGAACGGGGAGCAGCCCAGAGCCUGAAUCAGUGUGUGUGUUAGUGGAAGCGUCUGGAAAGGCGCGCGAUACAGGGUGACAGCCCCGUACACAAAAAUGCACAUGCUGUGAGCUCGAUGAGUAGGGCGGGACACGUGGUAUCCUGUCUGAAUAUGGGGGGACCAUCCUCCAAGGCUAAAUACUCCUGACUGACCGAUAGUGAACCAGUACCGUGAGGGAAAGGCGAAAAGAACCCCGGCGAGGGGAGUGAAAAAGAACCUGAAACCGUGUACGUACAAGCAGUGGGAGCCUCUUUAUGGGGUGACUGCGUACCUUUUGUAUAAUGGGUCAGCGACUUAUAUUCUGUAGCAAGGUUAACCGAAUAGGGGAGCCGAAGGGAAACCGAGUCUUAACUGGGCGUUAAGUUGCAGGGUAUAGACCCGAAACCCGGUGAUCUAGCCAUGGGCAGGUUGAAGGUUGGGUAACACUAACUGGAGGACCGAACCGACUAAUGUUGAAAAAUUAGCGGAUGACUUGUGGCUGGGGGUGAAAGGCCAAUCAAACCGGGAGAUAGCUGGUUCUCCCCGAAAGCUAUUUAGGUAGCGCCUCGUGAAUUCAUCUCCGGGGGUAGAGCACUGUUUCGGCAAGGGGGUCAUCCCGACUUACCAACCCGAUGCAAACUGCGAAUACCGGAGAAUGUUAUCACGGGAGACACACGGCGGGUGCUAACGUCCGUCGUGAAGAGGGAAACAACCCAGACCGCCAGCUAAGGUCCCAAAGUCAUGGUUAAGUGGGAAACGAUGUGGGAAGGCCCAGACAGCCAGGAUGUUGGCUUAGAAGCAGCCAUCAUUUAAAGAAAGCGUAAUAGCUCACUGGUCGAGUCGGCCUGCGCGGAAGAUGUAACGGGGCUAAACCAUGCACCGAAGCUGCGGCAGCGACACUAUGUGUUGUUGGGUAGGGGAGCGUUCUGUAAGCCUGCGAAGGUGUACUGUGAGGUAUGCUGGAGGUAUCAGAAGUGCGAAUGCUGACAUAAGUAACGAUAAAGCGGGUGAAAAGCCCGCUCGCCGGAAGACCAAGGGUUCCUGUCCAACGUUAAUCGGGGCAGGGUGAGUCGACCCCUAAGGCGAGGCCGAAAGGCGUAGUCGAUGGGAAACAGGUUAAUAUUCCUGUACUUGGUGUUACUGCGAAGGGGGGACGGAGAAGGCUAUGUUGGCCGGGCGACGGUUGUCCCGGUUUAAGCGUGUAGGCUGGUUUUCCAGGCAAAUCCGGAAAAUCAAGGCUGAGGCGUGAUGACGAGGCACUACGGUGCUGAAGCAACAAAUGCCCUGCUUCCAGGAAAAGCCUCUAAGCAUCAGGUAACAUCAAAUCGUACCCCAAACCGACACAGGUGGUCAGGUAGAGAAUACCAAGGCGCUUGAGAGAACUCGGGUGAAGGAACUAGGCAAAAUGGUGCCGUAACUUCGGGAGAAGGCACGCUGAUACGUAGGUGAAGUCCCUUGCGGAUGGAGCUGAAAUCAGUCGAAGAUACCAGCUGGCUGCAACUGUUUAUUAAAAACACAGCACUGUGCAAACACGAAAGUGGACGUAUACGGUGUGACGCCUGCCCGGUGCCGGAAGGUUAAUUGAUGGGGUUAGCGGUAACGCGAAGCUCUUGAUCGAAGCCCCGGUAAACGGCGGCCGUAACUAUAACGGUCCUAAGGUAGCGAAAUUCCUUGUCGGGUAAGUUCCGACCUGCACGAAUGGCGUAAUGAUGGCCAGGCUGUCUCCACCCGAGACUCAGUGAAAUUGAACUCGCUGUGAAGAUGCAGUGUACCCGCGGCAAGACGGAAAGACCCCGUGAACCUUUACUAUAGCUUGACACUGAACAUUGAGCCUUGAUGUGUAGGAUAGGUGGGAGGCUUUGAAGUGUGGACGCCAGUCUGCAUGGAGCCGACCUUGAAAUACCACCCUUUAAUGUUUGAUGUUCUAACGUUGGCCCCUAAUCGGGGUUGCGGACAGUGUCUGGUGGGUAGUUUGACUGGGGCGGUCUCCUCCUAAAGAGUAACGGAGGAGCACGAAGGUUGGCUAAUCCUGGUCGGACAUCAGGAGGUUAGUGCAAUGGCAUAAGCCAGCUUGACUGCGAGCGUGACGGCGCGAGCAGGUGCGAAAGCAGGUCAUAGUGAUCCGGUGGUUCUGAAUGGAAGGGCCAUCGCUCAACGGAUAAAAGGUACUCCGGGGAUAACAGGCUGAUACCGCCCAAGAGUUCAUAUCGACGGCGGUGUUUGGCACCUCGAUGUCGGCUCAUCACAUCCUGGGGCUGAAGUAGGUCCCAAGGGUAUGGCUGUUCGCCAUUUAAAGUGGUACGCGAGCUGGGUUUAGAACGUCGUGAGACAGUUCGGUCCCUAUCUGCCGUGGGCGCUGGAGAACUGAGGGGGGCUGCUCCUAGUACGAGAGGACCGGAGUGGACGCAUCACUGGUGUUCGGGUUGUCAUGCCAAUGGCACUGCCCGGUAGCUAAAUGCGGAAGAGAUAAGUGCUGAAAGCAUCUAAGCACGAAACUUGCCCCGAGAUGAGUUCUCCCUGACUCCCUGAGAGUCCUGAAGGAACGUUGAAGACGACGACGUUGAUAGGCCGGGUGUGUAAGCGCAGCGAUGCGUUGAGCUAACCGGUACUAAUGAACCGUGAGGCUUAACCUUACAACGCCGAAG